ensembl:lncRNA
GGAAAAUGGUGUGUUUAGUUUAGAAAAGCUGCGUCUUAGGGAUGCAAUCACGGAAAGUUCAGCGUUGGAGUCCACAAGAAAAAACCUCCCCCCUCCCUCCCCUCCCUCCCACGACUGAUGAUGCUCUCACAUUGAAAGCAGCACACGUGGCCACUUGAAGGGUACCGUCUCUCCUUUCCUCGGCUCGCCGCCAUCCGCCUUUACCGAGCUCGUCUCUGGAGUAAAACAUAUUGGAGCUUAAUAAAAAUCGUGGUUUUUGACGAUAACCCUGAAACACACGUUUUACUCCCAAGACCUCCUUCUGAGUGGAUGAACCGAUCCGCUGGAAGAGGCGUACGCCGCGCUGACACGCUCCCGUGUGUGUCGGUGUGCCGCGUAGACUUCUCGAAGUGAAUAUGGCGGCUUGAAAAAUGUCUCUUUUCGGUGCUUGCUCAAUUCCACCUGCCCCGUGGUGCUCCGUCCCCAGACAGGUGAGCCGGAGGAACGUAAUGGACACAUUUUUAAUGGAUUGUUGCUCCGCAGUGGAGAGGAAGGAGGGGAAGGCCCAAUUAUUCACUCUGUCUGUUUCUCCAUGUGAGGAGCAGUUAGGAGAAUAUUAAGCAGCUCGGACGUGUACUUUGUCAUAGUAUUGAUUUUUUUUUAGUUGUUAUUAUUUUAAUAAGAACAGGAGAGUAUUAUUAAUGUUUGUCUCGGUGUUGCGUUCACCAAAAGAUGGCAGAUAAAUGAGAGUCACAAAGAUGCAGCUUUUCUAAAGGUCACAUUUUUCCGUUGAAAAGCUAAAACUAUUUUGGCUUAAUAUGUGGAUUUGACAAAAAAUACAAUCCAUGCAGUGAGCUGCCUUUGCUGAACCAAUCGGAUCACAUACUCUAUUUAUUGCAAAUGUGCAAAAAACUGUCUUCUUCAGGCUUCUGACACGUUUGAAUCUUAAAAAAACAGCAUUGCAUCCUCAUGACUUCACCCAACCGACUACAUCAUUUGCCAUCACUCAUAUUAAUAACAAGCGAUAUGAGCGUCUGAUUUUAGCUGUUGUUUGGCUACCGGGUUACUGGAAAGUGUGCCACGUCGCCAUGGUAACGCUGGUCCUGCAGUUUAUCUGCCUUAUGGUCACACUGCUUUUUUUUUUUUUUUAGAGGCAGCGUGCAUUCAUUGACUUCAUCAAUCAAAUGUGCUUUAAAUGGCAACGGGGUUUAAAAUCUGGAAGAACGACUUUGCUUUCUAUGAUGAGUUAUAAGAUAAAUAAAACGAUUUUCAGGCAUUUUUCCAGCUCAAUCCCCCGUUUCAUUUGCUGAUGUUACUUCUUUCCCAAACAGACCCACCGUGACUCAUUGUGCGCUCACGCUGUGUCUGUGAAAAUGACCGUCAGCCCCAAAGUCAAUUCAGAGGCUGCCGUGAGGCAGGUAUCAUUUUUAUUAGUUUGAGUAUCUUUCAACCUUUAUUUAUAAAAUUGAGAUUAAUUCAAUCUCUGUGGCCUCUCGGAGCAGUCGUCUGUGAACGCAGGGAGCACAAAAGGAAGACGCCAGCCGUUUUCUCCUUUCUGCCACUUCAGAUUUAAUCCACUGGAGAAACUGACAAAAUGUACACGGAAGCCUUCAGCGGGAUUGACGAGCCGUCGGGCGGCCGCUCUGCCCCUCGGGCCUCUCGCGACAGGUUUCGGGAAGACUGGACAGUGAAUCUCUAUCCGCCUGUCAAGGAAAUAAUUGGCACAAGGUACUGGCUGGUUAGCGCGUUCAUUCCAAUCUGUGCAACACAGUACACAAACAUAUAGGGUCUAAUUCAAUGUGCAUUAGUGCAGUCCAGUCCCACCACAUAUUGUGCAAUGCAUUUCACCCCUUGGCAUUUUCUGGUUCUUCCUUGAAAUAAGGACCUGCGACCUUGUGCUGAAAGGUUUCUUAAUGCGAGCCUAUUAUCCUGUCUCCUGGCAACGCGAGCCGCCCCAGUCACAGGAAGUCUGCACGUUAGUCAGCAGAAUGGUCACUUCUAGCGUUGCAUCACCGGCAUUGUGUCACCUCUUAUGUAUGCAGUGACCCUCUAGCGUGGUUAAGCAGACGUUUACUCUCCCGUGAUGGAAUGGGAGAUCUCCGUCCCCUGACAGAAGGCAUUUUAUCUGUUUUAUCCGCGCCCCGAGGCAGUCCGAAACCCCCACCUUACACGUGACGUACUAAUUACUCGAGCUGUUCCCCGAGAGCCUCCCCGCGGUUAAAGUGCACCAUGUGACCGACGUGAGGCGGCGCUCCCCGAAUCGCCCGCGGGCAGAAACCUGCAAGAGGCCAAACUGCAGCCAAUUUAUUCAACUGCAGUCAUUUUUGUUUUUGCUAUUUCUGGGAUUUAAAACCAACAUUGUUUUUACCCCUCAGCGCUGCAGCAGCCUAAUAUUAGUGUAUAAAGGAGCUUUGGCUUCAUCAAAGUACGUAAAACCGAUGGCUAUUCACUUCAGCUCAAAUACACAGCGGCCCCCGAGGCCUUUAACACAACACAACAUAGAAAUAGACACAACUGAGGCAGAGAAAAUAUCCUGUGGCCCCCAAAAAUAACGCAGAGAUGAAAAACGCAGGAAUCAUGUGCAGCAUAACAAAAUGUGCUGCGAACACACACAAGGGGAGCAGAUACAGGAAGGCAGCGAAGCUGCCGCCUGUCAGCGCGGCUGGAAGAGGAACAAACGAUGUAUUUUGAUCGCUAAUGUGGUUUCCACGCCAAACUCCUAUCAGUGUCGAUAGCAAAGAGAGAAGAAGAGCAACAGCGCGCCUACGAGAGGCGUAAAAUAAACACUUUGUGAUUCAAGACGUGAAGUUUGCCCCCGUCUGCUUGGAAGUUUUGAACGACAAAAAGGCAUGUGGACAGACGCACGAGCGAAGACGGAUUCAAUGAGGGAACUUAAUGGCUGCGGCGAUUAAAAGAUAAACAGGGUGGAGGAAAUGGAUCCCAGCGGAUACCCAGAAAGACAGACGCGACUUGGAAACAGGAAAAACUAAACCCACGACGCGAGCGUCGGCGUUUGCUUUCAUGUGGAAGGUGAUGGAGCGCGGCGGGCGGAUGAAAGUUUGCGUCGCCGAGGAGAUGUGCCGCCCCCCCCCCCCUCCCGUUGCAUCUUUGGGAGGCGGCUUGUGAAAUGGUAAUGCGCCUGUGGGAUCACAUUCAUCAUCACAUGUAAAGUAAUGAAGCAUUUUGCCCGCCGGUGGAUCCCAGCGCAGCAGCUUCCCCCUUUUUGCACAUCUGCUCGUCUUUCUCGUGAAUUGGGACGACAAAGCGUUGCUUUUUCUUUGCGCACAACCUGACUAAUGCGCACUGUUUGGCAGCAGAGUACCGUGGGUACCAGGAGAUGUAGCCGAAUGCACAUCAGACUGACAAGAAGGAGUCAUAUUGUGGUGUCAUGGCACAUGAACAUUAGUUGUGUGACUUUAACUGCAGCAAACAGAAUGCAACCGUGAAUUCUUACUUUACACUCGUGAAUUCGUGAAUUUCAUUACCGUCGCCUGGUCCGUCCCUUCGGUGGGAUUUGUCUCAGGCUCACUGAAGCCUGUCUCUGUGUGUCUCUCUGAACGGAGGACGGCCUUCCUGCAGCAAGGAGGUUCCCCUGCAGCCAUCAAGAGGAACCUUCAGGGGAACUCAGUUAUUUUGUCUGGGUUACGUUUGCUUUUGAUGUGUCCAAAGAUAAGUUUCACAUGACGUUAGUUAACUCGUUGAGUCGCUCAUUGGUCAGCUGAGUGAGCGCCAACCGCGCCUCUGUUUUUCGCUGCCUGAAUCUAACUGCGAAAAAACAGACGUUUGUUUUGAAAAGACAAACAUAUGUGGAAAACACAGGUUUCCUUCCCCCCUUAUCACAUUUGAUAAUCUUUGUAAUCAAUCAUUCCUUUGAAUAUUUCUUGAAUAUUUCUGUGAAUAUUUCCGUGAAUAUUUUUUGGAUUUUUUUUGAAUAUUUUUUAUUUCACCAACCAUCAUCACACUGGUUCCCUAUGAAGAUCACUCCUUUUGUUUUCCUGGCAAUAUUGUAGAAAGCAAGAUAUGUGGCAAACACAGGUUUCCUUCCCUCCUUAUCACAUUUGAUAAUCUUUGUAAUCAAUCAUUCCUUUGAAUAUUUCUUGAAUAUUUUCAUGAAUAUUUCCGUGAAUAUUUCUGUGAAUAUUUCCGUGAAUAUUUUUUGGAUUUUUUUUGAAUAUUUUUUAUUUCACCAACCAUCAUCACACUGGUUCCCUAUGAAGAUCACUCCUUUUGUUUUCCUGGCAAUAUUGUAGAAAGCAAGAUAUGUGGCAAACACAGGUUUCCUUCCCCCCUUAUCACAUUUGAUAAUCUUGUAAUCAAUCAUUCCUUUGAAUAUUUC